rnacentral:lncRNA from 1 species
CACCAGUAAGGUUUUCUGAAGCUUUCUUUCCACCAGGGAAGACUGCAAAGGCCAGAGAUCAUUUUCACAACUAAAGGUCGUCAUCUGGGCAAAUGAACCACUCUGACUUGGAGAUUAGGGGCUCAGACAGCCGUGGAUGAGAGUCCAGCUCUACUACUUAUUAGCCUUGAUUAGUUGACUGUCACUGCCGAGACCAGCUUCUGAGUAAUUUCAGCCCAGGCAUCAGACUAGUGAGGGAAGGAGCUUCCAGGUGAUACCACCUCCCAGCCAUACUGUGAGAGGGAUGGGAAAGACUGGUGCUUGGGGUGGCCAUCUGACCCCUGAUGGACAGGAGACCAGGACAAGCCCACUGGAUGAGCCGGAGGGGUCCAGGAGGAGGGAGUUGAGAGCUCCUGCUAGGGUUGACACAUUCUGGUAAGGAGUUCAUCUGCUGUCCACCAGGUAGGUGGUGUGCAAAUACAACUAAGCAUUCAUGUUUAAGGUUUUUUUUUAAUUUUUUAUUUUUCGAGGCAGAGUCUCCAUUGCCCAGGCUGGAGUGCAAUGGCGCCAUCUCGGCUCACUACAACCCCUGCCUCCCAGAUUAAAGUGCUUAUCCUCCCUCAGCCUCCUGAGUAGCUGGAAUUACAGUCGUGCCUCCACGCCCAGCUAAUUUUUGUAUUUUUAGUAGAGACGGGGUUUCACCAUGUUGGCCAGGCUGGUCUCAAACUCCUGACCUCAGGUGAUUCACCCGCCUUGGCCUCCCAAAGUGCUGGGAUUACAGGCAUGAACCACUGCGCCCGGACUUAUGUUUAAGGUUAUUUAAAAAGCAAAGCAAAAUCCUAACCAUGUUGAAUUUUUGAAUCUGCAGCAGAUUCAAAUUAAUGAAUUUAAAUCAUAUAUCAGGUAAAAUACUACCUUGACAUAUUUUGUGAUCAUACUGAGAGAAAAUUAAUAUAAAGCUAAUUCAAAAUUUUUUAAUUUGUAAAUCAAAAGAUUAAACCUUGUUAAAAUUUACAAAGAAUAUGCCACUAUAAGAAGAAGUAGCUCAACUUUAUUUCAGUAAAAUCACCAACAAAACAAUAAAAAGCCAAAACUAAAAA